rnacentral:rRNA from 1 species
GCACGAGCGCAACCCUCGUCCUUAGUUGCCAUCAUUAAGUUGGGCACUUUAAGGAGACUGCCGGUGACAAACCGGAGGAAGGUGGGGAUGACGUCAAGUCAUCAUGCCCCUUACAUCCUGGGCUACACACGUACUACAAUGCAACGGACAAAGGGCAGCCAACUAGCGAUAGUGCGCAAAUCCCAUAAACCGUUGCUCAGUUCAGAUUGCAGGCUGCAACUCGCCUGCAUGAAGGCGGAAUCGCUAGUAAUCGCAGGUCAGCAUACUGCGGUGAAUACGUUCCCGGGCCUUGUACACACCGCCCGU